UAGGGAAUCUUCCGCAAUGGGCGAAAGUCUGACGGAGCAACGCCGCGUGAGUGAUGAAGGUCUUCGGAUCGUAAAACUCUGUUAUUAGGGAAGAACAAAUGUGUAAGUAACUAUGCACGUCUUGACGGUACCUAAUCAGAAAGCCACGGCUAACUACGUGCCAGCAGCCGCGGUAAUACGUAGGUGGCAAGCGUUAUCCGGAAUUAUUGGGCGUAAAGCGCGCGUAGGCGGUUUUUUAAGUCUGAUGUGAAAGCCCACGGCUCAACCGUGGGGGGUCAUUGGAAACUGGAAAACUUGAGUGCAGAAGAGGAAAGUGGAAUUCCAUGUGUAGCGGUGAAAUGCGCAGAGAUAUGGAGGAAAACCAGUGGCGAAGGCGACUUUCUGGUCUGUAACUGACGCUGAUGUGCGAAAGCGUGGGGAUCAAACAGG
rnacentral:rRNA from 1 species